GCNCCUCGCGCCAUCAGACUCCUACGGGAGGCAGGCAGUGGGGAAUCUUGCACAAUGGACGAAAGGUCUGAUGCAGCAACGCCGCGUGGGGAUGAAGCUUUCGGAGUGUAAACCCUUUCGACCCGGAAGAAAGCCGCAAGGGUUUGACGGUACGGGUAUAAGAAGCCCGGCUAACUACGUGCCAGCCGCCGCGGUAAUAC
rnacentral:rRNA from 1 species